UGUGGAGAGUAGUGUGUGAAAGAUCACGAUGUUAAAUCUGUUUCUUUCUCUAGAGAUACUGCCAGACUUGCAGGAUGUGGACAUCAUUGGCUGGCCCGCAUUUAUUGCCCAUCCCUAAUUGCCCUUAAGAUGGUGGUGAGCUGCCUCCUUGACCAAUACAGUCUACAUCCUGCAGGUAGACCACAACGCCAUUACUGAGGGAAUUCCAGGAUUUUGAUCCUGCAACAGUGAAGGAACAGCAAUAUAUUUACAAGUCAGAAUGGUCUGGAAUCACUUGAUUGCUCCCAAACCAUUUUCAACUGAAAAAAAGCAAAUAACUACUUUAGAUUUUAUUUUAAG